GACGAACGCUGGCGGCGUGCUUAACACAUGCCAGUCGAGCGGAAAGGCCUGCUUUCCCUUGUGGAUUGCGGGUACUCGAGUGGCGAACGGGUGAGUAACACGUGAGUGAUCUGCCCCCAACUUGGGUAUAAGCCUGGGAAACUGGGUCUAAUUCCCGAUAGGACUGCAGGGUGGUGCCUGUGGUGGAAAACGAUUUUCUAGUGGUUGGGGAUGAGCUCGCGGCCUAUCAGCUUGUUGGUGGGGUAAUGGCCUACCAAGGCGGCGACGGGUAGCCGGCCUGGGAGGGUGGACGGCCACAUUGGGACUGAGAUACGGCCCAGACUCCUACGGGAGGCAGCAGUGGGGAAUAUUGCACAAUGGGCGGAAGCCUGAUGCAGCGACGCCGCGUGGGGGAUGACGGCCUUCGGGUUGUAAACUCCUUUCGACCGCGAGGAAGCCACCUGGUUGGAAGGGUGGUGACGGUAGUGGUAGAAGAAGCACCGGCUAACUACGUG
rnacentral:rRNA from 1 species